rnacentral:rRNA from 1 species
AAUGAACGCUGGCGGCAUGCCUAAUACAUGCAAGUCGAGCGAACAGACCAGGAGCUUUCUCCUCUGACUUUAUCGGCGGACGGGUGAGUAACACGUGGAUGACCUACCUAUCCGACUGGGAUAACAUCGCGAAACCAGGUCUAAUACCGGAUAAUAUAUUGCACCUCAUGGUUCCAUCGUUAGAUACGGUUUUUCUGUCGCUUAUAGAUUAAUCCGCGCCUCAUUCAUUAGUUGGUUAGGUAACGGCUUACCAAGGCAGCGAUGCGUAACCGACCUGAGAGGGUGAACGGACACCUGGGAAGUGAGACACGGCCGAGACUCUGACGGGAGGACGCAGUAGGGACUCCUACGCAAGGGGGGAAAGCCUGACGGAGCAACGCCGCGGGAGUGAUGAAGGUGCUCGGACCGGAAAGCGCUGUUAUUAGGGAAGAAGAAAAGUGUAAGUAACCAGGAACGUAUUGACGGUACCGAAUGAGAAAGCUCCGGCUAACUACGUG